rnacentral:misc_RNA from 1 species
GCAAACUUGGUCAUUUAGAGGAAGUAAAAGUCGUAACAAGGUUUCCGUAGGUGAACCUGCGGAAGGAUCAUUAUCCAUUGUUCAGUGAACAAUACCGCCCGCGGGGGCUGUCCGGCCCGGCGCCUCGGUGCUGGGCUGGCCUUUGGCAGGUCCGGGCAUAACACCCCGGCCAACAGCCCCUGUCCACACUCUUGUCUUCUCCAUUAUGUUGCCUUGGCGGGUGCCCAUAACUGGGCCGCCGGGGCUUGCCCCUGGCGCCGCCCGCCAAAAGCCUCUCUAAAUUCUGUGAAACUGUUUGUCUUAGUCAAAGAUAAUAAGCAAAACUUUCAACAACGGAUCUCUUGGUUCUGGCAUCGAUGAAGAACGCAGC